UAGGGAAUUUUCGGCAAUGGGGGAAACCCUGACCGAGCAACGCCGCGUGAGCGAUGAAGUAUUUCGGUAUGUAAAGCUCUAUCAGCAGGGAAGAAAAUGACGGUACCUGACUAAGAAGCACCGGCUAAAUACGUGCCAGCAGCCGCGGUAAUACGUAUGGUGCAAGCGUUAUCCGGAUUUACUGGGUGUAAAGGGAGCGUAGACGGCAUGGCAAGCCAGAUGUGAAAGCCCGGGGCUCAACCCCGGGACUGCAUUUGGAACUGUCAGGCUAGAGUGUCGGAGAGGAAAGCGGAAUUCCUAGUGUAGCGGUGAAAUGCGUAGAUAUUAGGAGGAACACCAGUGGCGAAGGCGGCUUUCUGGACGAUGACUGACGUUGAGGCUCGAAAGCGUGGGGAGCAAACAGG
rnacentral:rRNA from 1 species